GAUGAACGCUAGCUACAGGCUUAACACAUGCAAGUCGAGGGGCAGCAUUUCAGUUUGCUUGCAAACUGGAGAUGGCGACCGGCGCACGGGUGAGUAACACGUAUCCAACCUGCCGAUAACUCGGGGAUAGCCUUUCGAAAGAAAGAUUAAUACCCGAUGGUAUAAUCAGACCGCAUGGUCUUGUUAUUAAAGAAUUUCGGUUAUCGAUGGGGAUGCGUUCCAUUAGGCAGUUGGUGAGGUAACGGCUCACCAAACCUUCGAUGGAUAGGGGUUCUGAGAGGAAGGUCCCCCACAUUGGAACUGAGGCACGGUCCAAACUCCUACGGGAGGCAGCAGUGAGGAAUAUUGGUCAAUGGGCGCAGGCCUGAACCAGCCAAGUAGCGUGAAGGAUGACUGCCCUAUGGGUUGUAAACUUCUUUUAUAUGGGGAUAAAGUUUUCCCACGUGUGGAAUUUUGUAUGUACCAUAUGAAUAAGGAUCGGCUAACUCCGUGCCAGCAGCCCGCGGUAAUACGGAGGAUCCGAGCGUUAUCCGGAUUUAUGGGGUUUAAAGGGAGCGUAGGUGGACAGUUAAGUCAGUUGUGAAAGUUUGCGGCUCAACCGUAAAAUUGCAGUUGAUACUGGCUGUCUUGAGUACAGUAGAGGUGGGCGGAAUUCGUGGUGUAGCGGUGAAAUGCUUAGAUAUCACGAAGAACUCCGAUUGCGAAGGCAGCUCACUGGACUGCAACUGACACUGAUGCUCGAAAGUGUGGGUAUCAAACAGGAUUAGAUACCCUGGUAGUCCACACAGUAAACGAUGAAUACUCGCUGUUUGCGAUAUACAGUAAGCGGCCAAGCGAAAGCAUUAAGUAUUCCACCUGGGGAGUACGCCGGCAACGGUGAAACUCAAAGGAAUUGACGGGGGCCCGCACAAGCGGAGGAACAUGUGGUUUAAUUCGAUGAUACGCGAGGAACCUUACCCGGGCUUAAAUUGCAUUUGAAUAUAUUGGAAACAGUAUAGCCGUAAGGCAAAUGUGAAGGUGCUGCAUGGUUGUCGUCAGCUCGUGCCGUGAGGUGUCGGCUUAAGUGCCAUAACGAGCGCAACCCUUAUCUUUAGUUACUAACAGGUCAUGCUGAGGACUCUAGAGAGACUGCCGUCGUAAGAUGUGAGGAAGGUGGGGAUGACGUCAAAUCAGCACGGCCCUUACGUCCGGGGCUACACACGUGUUACAAUGGGGGGUACAGAAGGCAGCUACCUGGUGACAGGAUGCUAAUCCCAAAAGCCUCUCUCAGUUCGGAUCGAAGUCUGCAACCCGACUUCGUGAAGCUGGAUUCGCUAGUAAUCGCGCAUCAGCCAUGGCGCGGUGAAUACGUUCCCGGGCCU
rnacentral:rRNA from 1 species